rnacentral:rRNA from 1 species
AUUGAACGCUGGCGGCAGGCCUAACACAUGCAAGUCGAGCGGAGCGGCGAACGGGUGAGUAACGCGUGAGUAACUGCCCCCCUCUCUGGGAUAACAGUUGGAAACGGCUGCUAAUACCGGAUAGUGGGGGAUGACUCUCGUCCUAUCAGCUUGUUGGUGGGGGAGUGGCCUACCAAGGCGACGACGGGUAGCCGGCCUGAGCUGGCGCGCGGCCGUAUUGGGCUGGGAUACGGCCCAGACGCCUACGGGAGGCAGCAGUUGGGGAUAUUGCACAAUGGGCGAAAACCUGAUGCAGCGACGCCGCGUGGGGGAUGAAGGCUUUCGGGUUGUAAACCUCUUUCACGAUCGAAAGGGUAGGUGGAGAAGAAGCGCCGGCUAACUACGUGCCAGCCGCCGCGGUAAUUC